UAGUUUAGGACUUUUCGGUUUAUGGUUUAAAAGACCCAAUUUUCGAUCACAUUUUGACAUCUCAUCCGUUCAGUUUUUAGGUUUAUAUGAGUAGAUCAUUUCUACAAAUUUUCAUCCAAAUUGGUGUAUUCUAACGAGGACUUUUAAGUUUAUGACUAGUUUAGGACUUUUCGGUUUAUGGUUUAAAAGACCUAAUUUUCGAUCACAUUUUGACAUCUCAUCCGUUCAGUUUUUAGGUUUAUAUGAGUAGAUCAUUUCUACAAAUUUUCAUCCAAAUUGGUGUUCGUUAAGAUAACAAACUAGAUCAAAUUAAUGGAUCGGAUGAACCAAAUCUGUCAAAUAUGAACCGUUCAAGUUUAUAAUUGAUAAAUCACACUUAUGAAUGCCUUAACAAUUUUCAAUAUAGCUGAAAAUUUGGAGAAAUGAUCUACUCAUAAAUACCUAUAAACUGAACGGUCAAGAUAUGUAUAUAAGAUUGAAAGGUGGGAUAAGCCGAAAAGUCAUCACCGAGUCCUCACUGAAUCCUCAACUUAAGGGUCCUUACUAGAAGGGUCCUGAUACACAUCUCCAUCAUAGAUAUGUUUUUUCACCCGAAGUACAUUUCUAUUUACUGCAUAUGUUAAUAUGUAAAUCAAGAUACGAUGAACUUAGAAACUUAAAAACUUUACAUGAUUUGUUAAUGUGCUAUUUUCUCACUAAUAAAAUCUAAAAUUGUUUUGUGUUUUCCAUCAACACAGUUUCCAUGUGGAUUCUCACAAGCAUUAUAUGCACAUUGUAGACAUAUAUUCAUUUGCAUACUUUUAUACCAGCUUAUAAUUUUCAUUCUGGAUUUGAUAGUUAGUGUAACAAUUUGAUCAUAAUGCUAUCUUAAAUUCGCUCGCAUUUGGGUGUCUUGCAAAUUUCUUUCAUUCUCAUAGCUUUACUAAGAUAUUGGAGAGAUCUAAAACGUUUAUUAACUUUAUUUGAAUCAAGACAAGUGAUACUUGGAUAUAA
rnacentral:lncRNA from 1 species